ensembl:snRNA U2 U2 spliceosomal RNA
AUCGCUUCUCGGCCUUUUGGCUAAGAUCAAGUGUAGAAAAAUACUGCUAUAAAUAUAACCAUAAAGUAUAUACUCCUUUGGAUGUGAUUUAUUUUACUUAACUGUAUGCCUAUGUGAUUCCUCCGUGCAUUUGUGUAAAUCAGUUAUUUAUUUCUGGGUGAUGUUCACCUGUAUCAUACCCCAAAGUGACUUAAU